rnacentral:rRNA from 1 species
GAUGAACGCUAGCGGCAGGCUUAACACAUGCAAGUCGAGGGGUAUAGGCUUUCGGGCCUAGAGACCGGCGCACGGGUGCGUAACGCGUAUGCAAUCUACCUUUUACAGAGGGAUAGCCCAGAGAAAUUUGGAUUAAUACCUCAUAGUAUUAUGAAAUGGCAUCAUUUUAUAAUUAAAGUUCCAACGGUAAAAGAUGAGCAUGCGUCCCAUUAGCUAGUUGGUGUGGUAACGGCACACCAAGGCAAUGAUGGGUAGGGGUCCUGAGAGGGAGAUCCCCCACACUGGUACUGAGACACGGACCAGACUCCUACGGGAGGCAGCAGUGAGGAAUAUUGGACAAUGGGCGCAAGCCUGAUCCAGCCAUGCCGCGUGCAGGAUGACGGUCCUAUGGAUUGUAAACUGCUUUUAUACGGGAAGAAACCCUGGCUCGUGAGCCAGAUUGACGGUACCGUAGGAAUAAGGAUCGGCUAACUCCGUGCCAGCAGCCGCGGUAAUACGGAGGAUCCAAGCGUUAUCCGGAAUCAUUGGGUUUAAAGGGUCCGUAGGCGGUUUUAUAAGUCAGUGGUGAAAUCCGGUAGCUCAACUAUCGAACUGCCAUUGAUACUGUAGAACUUGAAUUGCUGUGAAGUAACUAGAAUAUGUAGUGUAGCGGUGAAAUGCUUAGAUAUUACAUGGAAUACCAAUUGCGAAGGCAGGUUACUAACAUCAUAUUGACGCUGAUGGACGAAAGCGUGGGGAGCGAACAGGAUUAGACACCCUGGUAGUCCACGCCGUAAACGAUGGAUACUAGCUGUUUGGUGGCAAUACUGAGUGGCUAAGCGAAAGUGAUAAGUAUCCCACCUGGGGAGUACGAACGCAAGUUUGAAACUCAAAGGAAUUGACGGGGGCCCGCACAAGCGGUGGAGCAUGUGGUUUAAUUCGAUGAUACGCGAGGAACCUUACCAGGGCUUAAAUGUAGAUUGACAGACUUGGAAACAGGUUUUUCUUCGGACAAUUUACAAGGUGCUGCAUGGUUGUCGUCAGCUCGUGCCGUGAGGUGUCAGGUUAAGUCCUAUAACUAGCGCAACCCCUGUCGUUAGUUGCCAGCGAGUCAUGUCGGGAACUCUAACGAGACUGCCGGUGCAAACCGUGAGGAAGGUGGGGAUGACGUCAAAUCAUCACGACCCUUACGUCCUGGGCUACACACGUGCUACAAUGGCCGGUACAGAGAGCAGCCACUGGGCGACCAGGAGCGAAUCUACAAAACCGGUCACAGUUCGGAUCGGAGUCUGCAACCCGACUCCGUGAAGCUGGAAUCGCUAGUAAUCGGAUAUCAGCCAUGAUCCGGUGAAUACGUUCCCGGGCCU